GACGGCAGGGCGGGAAGAACCGUUGGGGGCGACGGGGGGGGCUGUGCCCUUCUGUGUGGGUCCUGCCCGACCCCGUGCCGGGGAUCCACUCCUCUUCAUGCUUUAGUGAGCAGCCUCCGCGGGUUGCUAGGUGACAAGGGGCAGCGCCAUUCCUCCCCACAACGCCGCCACUGACUAAGGCGGGUGCCAAGGCGCUGGCGGGCAGCCGGAACAGCAGCGGAGUCGGAUUGCAUAAGCAUCCAGUUCUGCUGCUGGAAGGUGUUCGGCUCCGUCAGGUGUAAGUUUCUCCUUGCAAUCCCUGGACUGUGGUAGAAAGAAGUACAGAAAUGAUGAACUGUGCAAAGAAUCUUAUAAAUGCUGUGUCUACAAGGUGAACUCUAUCAGAACUGUUAUUGUAAAGAACAGACAGUAUUGCUACAGGUUAUAGAGUUUCUUCCUUGAGGAAAUCGAAUACUUUUACUUCUCUUGCACAGAUUUCUCAAACGAAAUGUCUUCUCCACAAUACUACAUUUCCUGGAUUUAUGAAGCCGUAAAGUCCACCAGAUUCAACUCUAGAGCUAAAAUGCAUCACAGCAACCAAAGCCUUAUUAUAGUCAUAAAAUUAAGUAGCACACAAAGAUUGAGGGAGAAAACAGGAUGCAGGCAGCAAAAAUUAUUUUUGACAUUUAUUCUUUGAAGAAUUGCAUAGGACAAAUUUCAAAUGGAGAAGAUUGCACUAGAAGGGAGGAAGACCCUGGAGGUCCCUAUUGAAACAGCCCAUACAACAAGAUUUGAGGUGAUGGCUAAACAGAAGUGGGAAGUGCUGUUUUCUUCCUGGUCUAACUUGACGAUGUGCAUCUUGAGUAUGAAGAGGGAAUAACAGGACAAGCUUAACUUAAUACAAAUGGAGGAAUUGCACUCUUCUGGCUCUGUGUGGAGUUAUUCCCUUUGCUUCCAAACCAGAGCACUAGUUGUUAGAAGGGGGAAAUGCG